UACGUAGGGUGCAAGCGUUGUCCGGAAUUAUUGGGCGUAAAGGGCUCGUAGGCGGUCCAUCGCGUCGGGAGUGAAAAGCUGGGGCUCAACCCCAGUCCUGCUUCCGAUACGGGUGGACUAGAGGUAUGCAGGGGAGAACGGAAUUCCUGGUGUAGCGGUGAAAUGCGCAGAUAUCAGGAGGAACACCGGUGGCGAAGGCGGUUCUCUGGGACGGUACUGACGCUGAGACGCGAAAGCGUGGGGAGCGAACAGG
rnacentral:rRNA from 1 species